rnacentral:rRNA from 1 species
AGGCUUUGAUCCUGGCUCAGGACGAACGCUGGCGGCGUGCUUAACACAUGCAAGUCGAACGAUGAAGUUCCUUCGGGAAUGGAUUAGUGGCGAACGGGUGAGGAACACGUGAACAAUCUGCCCCUUACACGGGAAUAACUCCGGGAAACCGGAGCUAAUACCCGAUAUUGAAUUCGGUAGGCAUCUACUGAAUUUGAAAUGGUCCGCCGGUAAGGGAUGAGUUCGCGGCCUAUCAGCUUGUUGGUGAGGUAAUGGCUCACCAAGGCAACGACGGGUAGCCGGCCUGAGAGGGCGACCGGCCACACUGGGACUGAGACACGGCCCAGACUCCUACGGGAGGCAGCAGUGGGGAAUAUUGCGCAAUGGACGAAAGUCUGACGCAGCAACGCCGCGUGAGGGAUGACGGCCUUCGGGUUGUAAACCUCUUUCAAUCGGGACGAAGCGAAAGUGACGGUACCGUAGUCAAGAAGCACCGGCGUA